rnacentral:lncRNA from 1 species
AUGUCUUACGGGAGCAAGUGCUGUUCUUGCAAAAUACCCAGGCAGAGGAACCAGCAGAUGAUGGACAGGCAGGUACCCCUUCCUGAAGCCAUCAGCGGCAUAUGGAAAUACACAGAACGACUUCAGAACCACGGCAUUCUCAGGCCAUGUGAAUCUCCCUGGAACACUCUGCUCCUGCCAGUGUGGAAGCCAACAACAAAACCUCAUAUGCCAGGAGCACAUGACUACGGACCAGUACAGGAUUUGCAAGCUAUCAGUGAGGCCACAGUGCCUAUUCCUCCAGUAGUGCCAAACCCUACACUCUAAUAACUAAUUCCAGCAAGUGCAGCCUGGUUUACUGAACUAGAUCCAAAAUAUGUCUUUUUCUCUCUCUGUCUAGAACCAAUAAACCAACCAUUAAUUGCCUUCCAGUAGGGCAAUUGUCAACUCACUUGCGCCAGACUUCUGCAGGGGUUUAAGAACUCUCCCACAAUCUUUGGAGAAGCAUUGGCAACAAACCUUAAGGCCUGCAGUCCUCCCAACAAAAAGUGUGUCCUCUUGUAGUACGUGCAUAAUCUUUCAGCAGCCCCAACCAUAAAAGAUAGUUAUCAAAAGACACACAGUCUGCUCCACCUGUUACAGAAGGCAGGAUACAAAGUGUCAGGAAGAAAAACCCAGGUCUACCUAAGUAUUGGGUACCUAGGAUUUAGCACAAGCCAAGGGAAGUGGAAUCUAGGUAUGCCCCAGGUCAAGGCUGUUUGCAGGCGCUAUAUAAGAGUUUUUAGGGGCAGCAGGUUCUGCCGUAUCUGGACUCCAAACUUCUCACUUAUAGCACAGCCCUUAUAUAAAGCAACAAAACACGGGGUUGGUCGGGGAGGAAACUUUCCUUUCAGGAACUGAACCAGAAAAGGCAUUUAAACAAGUUAAGCAAGCCCUAACUAAGGCCCUGGCUCUAGGACUACCAGACAUGACCAAGCCUUUCUUGUACGUACAUGAAUGGAAAGGAAUGGCCAUUGGGGUCUUAGCUCAAGUCCUAGGAUCUUGGCACCGCCUGGUGGCCUACUUAUCUGAACAGUUACAUGUAGUGGCAGAAGGAUGGUCCCCCUGCCUUGAGCCAUUGGCUGCCACAGGCAUGCUGGCGAAG